UGGCUUCCUUUAAGUCAGUGGUGUGUCAGGGGUCAGGACGGUAUUGGCAAAAGUGCCACUUUUAUCCUCACUCGCAACUGUCAUUUGUCUCAACCAAAUUGAAUUCCCAAAGGGAAACUGUUAGAUUUCUACAUAUCAUAUAGCUGCCUGGAAUAUUCAUGACAGUGCUUGAAUCUGGGCAGGUAGAUGUGAGCGGCUUCUAUAACCAAGGAAAAAAGGUACAAUAUAUAAAGGUUUUCAUUUUGCAGUCUUUUUCUCAUGCAAAAAAAAAAAAGAAUUGUCCGUCAUAUUUGCCACCUAAUUGAGACGACAACAGAAUGAAGACAAUCAAGAUUCCUAUAGGUCCUUUUUACUCAUUUCGAUUGCGAUUGAUUCUUCAGGAAGUCGAGAGCAUAGAGGUGCCGGGCAGGAGAC